UGUUCUAAUGUUUUGAUUUUAUGAGCAAGAUGAUUUUGGUUUUUUUUUUUGUUUUUGUUGGUGGUUCACGGAGGAGGAGGGUGUUGCUGAGUGGUGGCUGGUGGUGGCUAGUGGUUCACGGAGGGGGAGGGUGGUGUUGAGCGGUGGCUAGGCCGAUGGUUAGUGGUGGCUUGGCUGUUGGUAUUCCGACUGUUCGUAUUCACCUCUGCCCUCUCUCUCCGACAUGCACAGUAAUUAAUGCCGCAUUUAAAGGUCAUAAUUAGGGUAAAAAAACGAAGAGCCCCUCUGGGCCUGGACCGAGAAAACCGAAAAGAAAAAAAGAAAAAAAGGAAAGGAAAAGGAAAAAGAAAGAAAAAGAAAGAAAAAAAGCAAAAUAUAAAACAGCAAAA
rnacentral:lncRNA from 1 species